rnacentral:rRNA from 1 species
CCUACGGGAGGCAGCAGUGAGGAAUAUUGGUCAAUGGACGCAACUCUGAACCAGCCAUGCAGCGUGCAGGAAGACGGCUCUAUGAGUUGUAAACUGCUUUUAUACGAGGAUAAACGCAGAUACGCGUAUCUGUCUGAAAGUAUCGUACGACUAAGGAUCGGCUAAUUCCGUGCCAGCAGCCGCGGUAAUACGGAGGAUUCAAGCGUUAUCCGGAUUUAUUGGGUUUAAAGGGUGCGCAGGCGGGCGGAUAAGUUAGAGGUGAAAUCCCGCGGCUCAACUUCGGAAUUGCCGCGGACACUGGUCGGCUAGAGAGUAGUGGAGGUAGGCGGAAUGUAUGGUGUAGCGGUGAAAUGCUUAGAGAUCACACAGAACACCGAUUGCGAAGGCAGCCUACCAAG